rnacentral:rRNA from 1 species
AUUGAACGCUGGCGGCAUGCCUUACACAUGCAAGUCGAACGGUAGAGGGGGCAACCCCUUGAGAGUGGCGAACGGGUGAGUAAUGCAUCGGAACGUGCCCAGUCGUGGGGGAUAGCCCGGGGAAACCCGGAUUAAUACCGCAUACGACCUGAGGGUGAAAGCGGGGGACCGCAAGGCCUCGCGCGAUUGGAGCGGCCGAUGUCGGAUUAGCUAGUUGGUGGGGUAAAGGCCUACCAAGGCGACGAUCCGUAGCUGGUCUGAGAGGACGACCAGCCACACUGGGACUGAGACACGGCCCAGACUCCUGCGGGAGGCAGCAGUGGGGAAUUUUGGACAAUGGGGGCAACCCUGAUUCAGCCAUGCCGCGUGCGGGAAGAAGGCCUUCGGGUUGUAAACCGCUUUUGUCAGGGAAGAAAUCCUUUGGGUUAAUAACCUGGGGGGAUGACGGUACCUGAAGAAUAAGCACCGGCUAACUACGUGCCAGCCGCCGCAGUAA